UUAAGCUAAAUUUUUAUGGAAGGUAUUUUGGCUGCCUCUAAUUCGCAAUGUAGAUGGCUGGCAGUUGCUUUCUCAUAUAUCAAGAAGAGAGAACACACUCCUUCCUAGGACAAGGCCUGCAAAAAGAUCUUGGGAUGCUUGGGCCUGCAAAUCCUUCGAAUCUCCAAAACUUCUGGAGAUCACCGUACGUGCAGUGACAAAUAAUAAUUAGGACAAACACUUGGCGGUUGGGGUUUAAUUUCUUUCAUAUGCUUUACCAGGGAGCACGUAUUUUCCAAAAGUGAGCUAUUAGUUUGUUAGGGUAUAUUUGGCAAAAAAUAAAUUUAAGUGCAAAUACAAAGAAUUUUCAUGGCUGGUUUGUGCAGAGGUUUUAGAUAGGCUUUGAGAAGCAAAGCAUUGAUUCUUCAUUGUGGUGAUUUUGGUAUGGGUGUUCCGAGCCUUGCUCAUAGACACACUACACAUUUGGAAUUAGCUGUUCCGAAACCAAGAUUUGAAUCCCCAUCGAUCUUGGAGAGCUAUCUUUUGUGGAAGAACAACAAUGAUCAAAUUCACUUAGCGAAUGCCCAUCCUUCUCUUUCAAAGGUUCAAGCGCUGGAGCAGUUCGAACAAUUCCAUGAAAAUUUGGUCGAAGUUGUUGUGCACCAAAUGUGAAUGGAGAACUACCCAACAAAAUUUUGAGGCAAAUCUUUUGUGUUUUCGAAGAUGUUUCAUAAAAAGACUUGCACUUUGAAAAGAUUUCAUAAAUCUUUGGUCCUCCACCAAAGAUUCCAUCUUUAUCAGAUUCCCUGGUAAAAAUGGCUAUAAUAUAUUGCUUGGCAUAGGAACAGAGCUCGUUUUCUCCUUUUGUGUUUUAUUUCUUUUCUUUCUUAGGAAAAUAUGCUUCCAAAGAGAGUUGGGUACCCAAGUAUUUGUAAAUCAGGCUUCUACCUUGAAGAGUAGAGACAUUUUUCUCGAAUUCUAGUGCACCCACCCUUGUAUACUUCUGUGAGGUGAUUCUAUUUGUUGCAAAAUUGUUUUGAGAGGAUUAUUUUUCCAAUCUUGUUAAGAAACAACCAAUCAAGGUGUUUCACACCAUGGUUGGUAAUUAGAAGCUAAUAUUUUCUUGAGGCAAGAUUUUC